UCCUGGAAAGAGCCCGAGCAUGUUCUUUAGGUGUGCUUAGGUUAAACCCAGAGACUGCAAAACGGUUAAAAGCCUGGCCUAAGCCCCUGGAAGAGCUGAGGCAUCUCAGUAGCACUAACCAGAGACCAGGAUGCCACGGUAGGACAGAAAACUGAAGUCAAACUCCCUGUCAGAAAUUAUUUCCAUAGUCACAACAGCAGAAAAUACCUCACGAGCCCCCGUGGAGCCCGAGCAUGUGUUUGAUGGUGCAGUCGUGGACCCAGGUGGAGACCCCCAACAAACAGCCUGAGCCCUAGCUGUACCUUUCCAUGCACGCAAGGGGGUGAAAUGCAAAGCCGCUUCUCCCCCCUAGGUCCCUUGUUCAGCCCUGGCUUGCAGACAGAAGAGCGAGGCCGGGGGAAGCCAAGCUGCUCCCAGCAGGAAGGCCAACAUCGAUGAGUCCAUCACCUGGGCGGCAGCUGCUCCCAGCCAGCCAAGGGGUUGAUGAGUGUGGAUCGGCAUGGGCAGCACAGGAAUGCGAGGCAAGCCGUGCCACGCAAGUGCGUGGCUGGUGACCCCUCUCAUGGGUAUCAAGGACAUGGGGAAAUGCAGGGAGAGGUCCGCGGGAAGGUGAUGCUGCUUGGAAAGAUGCCACAUCCUGCUUAGGCACCUGCUCACAAUCAAGCGUACCCCUAUACAAAUACUAGAAGGUUGAAAAUAAAAAAUAUCUCUGAGGAUGGAGAUCCCACAGCCUCCCCAAAUCCCUGCUCCCAUUGUGCCAUUCAUUCAGCCAGAGUAUGGCAGUGGCUGGGACACACCAGAGAAGAUUUAAUGUUCAUCAGGGAUAGAAAACAACACAGGAAAACUUCCAUUACCCUGCUGUAGGCUGGGUGAUCAUCAUUUAGGAGCAAAACACCAAAAUGACAUCUCUGAUCACCAAAAUCAAUGACCCCAGGGAGCAACUGCUCCGAGUGCCCAGCUGGAUGCCCUGCUCCCCACCCCGGCUGCUCAAGAGCAUCCUGCAAAAACCACAACUGUCCCACAGUCGCUGGCGGGGGCAACACAAUUCACUUUAGUAAAAA